rnacentral:rRNA from 1 species
GAUGAACGCUGGCGGCGUGCCUAAUACAUGCAAGUCGAGCGAACGGACGAGAAGCUUGCUUUUCUGAUGUUAGCGGCGGACGGGUGAGUAACACGUGGAUAACCUACCUAUAAGACUGGGAUAACUUCGGGAAACCGGAGCUAAUACCGGAUAAUAUUUUGAACCGCAUGGUUCAAAAGUGAAAGACGGUCUUGCUGUCACUUAUAGAUGGAUCCGCGCUGCAUUAGCUAGUUGGUAAGGUAACGGCUUACCAAGGCAACGAUGCAUAGCCGACCUGAGAGGGUGAUCGGCCACACUGGAACUGAGACACGGUCCAGACUCCUACGGGAGGCAGCAGUAGGGAAUCUUCCGCAAUGGGCGAAAGCCUGACGGAGCAACGCCGCGUGAGUGAUGAAGGUCUUCGGAUCGUAAAACUCUGUUAUUAGGGAAGAACAUAUGUGUAAGUAACUGUGCACAUCUUGACUGUGCCUAAUCAGAAAGCCACGGCUAACUACGUG